AAGACUAUACUUUCAGGGAUUAUUUCUAUAGUUCCAAACUGCCUCAGUGAGAAAGGAUACUGGGAUUAGUCAUGCAAUACUUAAGCAACCAG
rnacentral:snoRNA from 1 species